GUAAGAAUAAGGAUCGGCUAACUCCGUGCCAGCAGCCGCGGUAAUACGGAGGAUCCAAGCGUUAUCCGGAAUCAUUGGGUUUAAAGGGUCCGUAGGCGGUUUAAUAAGUCAGUGGUGAAAGCCCAUCGCUCAACGGUGGAACGGCCAUUGAUACUGUCUGACUUGAAUUAUUAGGAAGUAACUAGAAUAUGUAGUGUAGCGGUGAAAUGCUUAGAGAUUACAUGGAAUACCAAUUGCGAAGGCAGGUUACUACUAAUGGAUUGACGCUGAUGGACGAAAGCGUGGGUAGCGAACAGGAUUAGAUACCCUAGUAGUCC
rnacentral:rRNA from 1 species